UCCUGACGGUGUUCUUUGCUGCCUCAAAGACAAGAAUCCUGCCUUGGCCUGGUGUGGUGGUUCACACCUUUAAACCUUAGCACUCAAGAGACAGAGGCAGGCAGAUCUCUAUGAGCUUCAGGCCAGCUUGGUUUUCCUGUUACAGCACACAGCAUCGUGGGACCUUGGACACUGUGUCUCACAGCUGCUGACAAGGUCACAAAGUCCACACUGACUGCUCAGGCACCCUCUGGCCUGCCCCACCCGCAAAGUUCCUUUCCAGAAGUUGUUGACUGAGGGGCAUGCUCCAAGAUGCUGGAGUUCUGCUUUCUAAGUGCACACCUGAAGACUCCACACUUGCAAGAUAGAGGAAGGAAGAUUUGAA